rnacentral:rRNA from 1 species
CCCUUAGAUGUUCUGGGCUGCCCGCGCGCUACACUGAAGCUAUCAACACGUUUUCCCUCCCUGAGAAGGGCGGGUAACCUUUUGAAUCAGCUUCGUGGUAGGGAUCGGGGCUUGCAAUUGUUCCCCGUGAACCAGGAAUUCCUAGUAGACGCGAGUCAUAAGCUCGCAUCGAUUAAGUCCCUGCCCUUUGUACACACCGCCCGUCGCUACUACCGAUUGAACGUUUUAGUGAGGCAUUUGGACCGACGCAUCUCAGUUUAACCGCUGGUUUGUGUUGGAAAGACUUCCAAACUUGAGCGUUUAGAGGAAGUAAAAGUCGUAACA